rnacentral:rRNA from 1 species
GACGAACGCUGGCGGCGUGCUUAACACAUGCAAGUCGAACGGAAAGGCCCUGCUUUUGUGGGGUGCUCGAGUGGCGAACGGGUGAGUAACACGUGAGUAACCUGCCCUUGACUUUGGGAUAACUUCAGGAAACUGGGGCUAAUAACGGAUAGGAGCUCCUGCUGCAUGGUGGGGGUUGGAAAGUUUCGGCGGUUGGGGAUGGACUCGCGGCUUAUCAGCUUGUUGGUGGGGUAGUGUCUUACCAAGGCUUUGACGGGUAGCCGGCCUGAGAGGGUGACCGGCCACAUUGGGACUGAGAUACGGCCCAGACUCCUACGGGAGGCAGCAGUGGGGAAUAUUGCACAAUGGGCGGAAGCCUGAUGCAGCAACGCCGCGUGCGGGAUGACGGCCUUCGGGUUGUAAACCGCUUUCGCCUGUGACGAAGCGUGAGUGACGGUAAUGGGUAAAGAAGCACCGGCUAACUACGUG